rnacentral:ncRNA from 1 species
CUUGAGGCUAUUCCGACAGGGAGAAAAGCGAUCUACGCCUGACCGCCUGCCUCAGCAAUCAUCCAGGC